AAUAUCAGUUCCUUUUUCAGAAAUGGGGCCAGAUUCUUGGGAUGUAGACAGUGUUCUCUUCACGGAUGCUAACAACUUAUCAAAGCUAUAAUAUAUUAAGUAUCUCUGUUAUAAUAGGAUAGAUGCAUUCCUAAAAAAAAUGUGUUAAGCAAAAAUCAGAAAAUAAAAAUAACAAGCCUUGAGGAAAAGCAUAGUUGGGAUGAACAUUUAAACCUAUACCCCAGUAAUAAUCCUCAUAAUGAUACUGACAAAGUUGAAAAGAUAUGUUAAAUUCCUAAUAAAUAUCCCAGUAAAUAUAGGAUUACACACACACACACACACACACACACACACACACACACACACUUCUGCCUGUGAGAAGGUAGUGAAUAGGAGGAGUAAUGCAGGUCCAAUUCCAAGGCUGCUAAAUAUGGAGACAAGGAUAAAAAAGCACAAAGAUAGGAAGAACUACCUGACAGGGGUUCUGAGUCAGCAUUUGUCCAGCUGAGCCAAGAGGAAGACUGGGGUGAAUGGACACGCAUACCAUAUUCCUCCAAGGUUGCGUUUUUGUUUUUGUUUUUGUUUUUUGGGGGGUUUUUUGUUUGUUUUUUUGUUUUUUGAGACAGAGUCUCACUCUGUUGCCCAGGCUGGAGUGCAGUGGCACGAUCUCGGCUCACUGCAAGCUCUGCCUCCCGGGUUCACACCAUUCUCCUGCCUCAGCCUCCCGAGUAGCUGGGACUACAGGUGCCCGCCACCUUGUGCCCGGCUAAUUUUUUUUGUAUUUUUAGUAGAGACGAGUUUCACCGUAUUAGCCAGGAUGGUCAUGUUUUUGUUCUUGUUUUUGUUUUAGAGACAGGGUCUCCCUCUGUCACCCAGGCUGGAGUGCAGUUGCACAAUCACAGCUCACUACAGCGUCAACCUUCCAGGUUGAGGAUCACUCAAUACUCAUGCCUCAGCCUCCCAUGUAGCUGGGGCUACAGGGGCACACCACCACUCCUGACCCAUUUUUUAAAAAUUUUUUUGUAUAGGUGGGGUCUCACCAUGUUGCCCAGGCUAGCCUCGAACUCCUGGGCUCAAGCAAUCCUCUCACCUUGGCCUCUCAAAGUGCUGAGAUUAUAGGUGUGACCCGCCGUGCCCGCCUUUCCUCUGAGUUUUGUUGCAUUCAGGCAGCUCCUGGCUGAGGCAAAACAUUAAAAUGCAUAUGGAAAUGCAGGCUGGGAAAAUGCUUUGAAACCAAUGCAAUUUCUAUGUUAAGGGGACAUUCCCUGAUUCUUUCAGGUAAUUUGCAUUCUAGACUGUGACAUUCUGUAUCUCAACUGAUAAAUAAGCCUGUUUGUCAUCCUGCUAGAUGAGAACCUGAUAUAUGAAACCUUUUUUUUUAACGUGGUUAAAAAAAAACAUAAAAUUUACCAUCAUAAUUAUUUUUAAAUGUACCAUUUGGCAGCAUUAAGUAUAUUUAAACUCUUGUGAAACAAAUUUCUAGAAUGUUUUCAUCUUGCAAAACCGAAACGCUGUAUCUAUUAAACAACUCCCCUUUUCUCCCUCUCUUCAACCCUGGUAACCAUGUUUUUAUGAAUUUGACUACUUUAGAUACCUCAUAUAAGUCAGGUCAUACAGUAUUUGUCUCUUUGUGACUGGCUUCACUUAGCAUAAUGUCCUCAAAGUUUAACUGUGUUGUAGCAUGUAUCAGAAUUUUAUGAAAUAUGAAGUCUUAGACACCCCAAAGUACAUUUUCACCCCAAAUGUAUUUGAACAGUGUUAGGCUGGGGGUGGGAGGCGGGAGUCCUUCUUGCUUUGCCUGUGCAAUGAAAUGAAUACCCUGCUGUGUUUAUCUCCUUGUCAUGUGAUUCUCCCAGGUUGUUUCUUCAAGUUUCUGAGCCAAACUUAACUCUAAAAAGCAAAUAUUCUGUGUUAAAAGACAGUAAUCAACACGGGAGCUACAUCAGACAUCAUAGGACAAAUUGUCAUCUAGAAGAGUAUAUUUUUAAUGCAGGAGAGUUUUUAAAACCCAGAUUGGUGUGAUUUCAUUCCAGAGAGCUCAGACAUAUGCUCAGCAAGUCUUGCAGAAGGAAUGUCGUCCCAAGUUUGCCAAGACAUCAAUGGCGCUGUUAUUUGAGCACAGGUAUAGCGUGGACUUACUCCCUUUUGUGCAGAAGGCCCCCAAAGACAGUGAAGCUGAGUCCAAGUACGAUCCUCCUUUUGGGUUCCGGAAGUUCUCCAGUAAAGUCCAGACCCUCUUGGAACUCUUGCCAGAGCACGACCUCCCUGAACACUUGAAAGCCAAGACCUGUCGGCGCUGUGUGGUUAUUGGAAGCGGAGGAAUACUGCACGGAUUAGAACUGGGCCACACCCUGAACCAGUUCGAUGUUGUGAUAAGGUUAAACAGUGCACCAGUUGAGGGAUAUUCAGAACAUGUUGGAAAUAAAACUACUAUAAGGAUGACUUAUCCAGAGGGCGCACCACUGUCUGACCUUGAAUAUUAUUCCAAUGACUUAUUUGUUGCUGUUUUAUUUAAGAGUGUUGAUUUCAACUGGCUUCAAGCAAUGGUAAAAAAUGAAACCCUGAACGUCCCCACAAUCGGUGUCAUUGCCGUUGUCUUAGCCACACAUCUGUGCGAUGAAGUCAGUUUGGCGGGUUUUGGAUAUGACCUCAGUCAACCCAGAACACCUUUGCACUACUUCGACAAUCAGUGCAUGGCUGCUAUGAACUUUCAGACCAUGCAUAAUGUGACAACGGAAACCAAGUUCCUCUUAAAGCUGGUCAAAGAGGGAGUGGUGAAAGAUCUCAGCGGAGGCAUUGAUCGUGAAUUCUGAACAUAGAAAACCUCAGUUGAAAAUGCAACUCUAACUCUGAGAGCUGUUUUUGACAGCCUUCUUGAUGUAUUUCUCCAUCCUGCAGAUACUUUGAAGUGCAGCUGAAGUUUUUAACUUUUAAUUUAAAAACACACAAAAAAUUUUAGCUCUUCCCACUUUUUUUUCCCUAUUUAUUUGAGGUCAGUGUUUGUUUUUGCACACCAUUUUGUAUAUGAAACUUAAGAAUUGAAUUGGAAAGACUUCUCAAAGAGAAUUGUAUGUAACGAUGUUGUAUUGAUUUUUAAGAAAGUAAUUUAAUUUGUAAAACUUCUGUUCGUUUACACUGCACAUUGAAUACAGGUAACUAAUUGGAAGGAGAGGGGAGGUCACUCUUUUGAUGGUGGCCCUGAACCUCAUUCUGGUUCCCUGCUGCGCUGCUUGGUGUGACCCACGGAGGAUCCACUCCCAGGAUGACGUGCUCCGUAGCUAUGCUGCUGAUACAGGGUCUGCGAUACAGUGGCGUGAGGCCUGGGCUGGUCGGAGAAGGGCACAACCCUUCUCUGUUGGUCUGCCUUCUGCUGAAAGACUCAAGAACCAACCAGGGAAGCUGUCCUGGAGGUCCCUGGUCGGGGAGGGACAUAGAAUCUGUGACCUCUGACAACUGUGAAGCCACCCUGGGCUGCAGAAACCACAGUCUUCCCAGCAAUUAUUACAAUUCUUGAAUUCCUUGGGGAUUUUUUACUGCCCUUUCAAAGCACUUAAGUGUUAGAUCUAACGUGUUCCAGUGUCUGUCUGAGGUGACUUAAAAAAUCAGAACAAAACUUCUAUUAUCCAGAGUCAUGGGAGAGUACACCCUUUCCAGGAAUAAUGUUUUGGGAAACACUGAAAUGAAAUCUUCCCAGUAUUAUAAAUUGUGUAUCUAAAAAAAAGAAACUUUUCUGAAUGCCUACCUGGCGGUGUAUACCAGGC
rnacentral:sRNA from 1 species